rnacentral:rRNA from 1 species
GAUGGACGCUAGCGGCAGGCCUAAUACAUGCAAGCUGAACGGUAAAUGUUGUAGCAAUACGAUAUGAGAGUAGCGUAAGGGUGCGUAACACGUAUGCAAUCUGCCCGCAACAGGAGGAUAGCUCCCCGAAAGGGGAAUUAAUACUCCAUAAGAUCACGAAAGGGCAUCUGAUUGUGAUUAAACUCAAAGGGGUUGCGGAUGAGCAUGCGUCUGAUUAGCUAGUUGGUGAGGUAACGGCUCACCAAGGCGAUGAUCAGUAGGGGAACUGAGAGGUUGAUCCCCCACACUGGCACUGAGAUACGGGCCAGACUCCUACGGGAGGCAGCAGUAGGGAAUAUUGGUCAAUGGGUGAGAGCCUGAACCAGCCAUGCCGCGUGCAGGAAGACGGCCUUCUGGGUUGUAAACUGCUUUUGUCAGGGGAUAAAAUACCCGUGCGCGGGGAAUUGAAGGUACCUGAUGAAUAAGCCACGGCUAACUACGUGCCAGCCGCCGCGGUAAAAC